ensembl:lncRNA
CUCUGAUGAACAUCCCCGGAGGUGGUAAGGCUCCAGUGGGUUUCAUAGUGAGUAGGUGAUUAGGAGUCAGCGGUUCUGGACCAUUUGGAUCAUUCGGGUUAUCCACAGUGAGUGGACGGCUGUUCACAAUAGACAUUGCCUCGUAAAACAAUGUCCUCAAACAGGCAUCAUCUAAUCUUCCAGGUGAGAGUGAAAGAGUGGACCGAAGUACAUUUCUUACUGUUCUGAUCUGUCUCUCCCAGACACCUCCAACAUGGCUUGAAUGGGGAGCAUUCAUAAUGAAGUCGCACUGCCUCUCAGCCAAGAAUGCAGUCAGACGACUGACAUCCAUUUGUUUCAGCGCAUUAUACAUGUCAUUCUUAGCUCCAACAAAAUUGCUUCCUUGGUCACAUCUUAUUUGUCGUACUGCUCCUCUUAUGGAAACAAAACAUCGGAGGCCAUUAAUGAAGGCAUCUGCUGACAUAUCAUUCACCAUUUCAAUGUGAAUUGCUCUACAACAAAGGCAUGUGAAAAGCAGACCAUAACGUUUAUUCACCUUACGCCCUUGCUUUGUAAAAAAUGGCCCAAAACAGUCCAUUCCGCAAUAAGUGAAAGGUGGAGAUGGAUCCACCCGCUCAGAUGGCAGGUCUGCCAUUCGAUGCUCCUCCACUGAUCCCCUGAGUUUCCUGCAUUUGACACACUGAUGCACAUAAGAUGCAACAGCUCUGUUCAUUCCUGGGAUCCAGUAUCCAUUUGAUCUGAUCUCGUUGAUGGUUAUACCCCUUCCUUGGUGUUUAACCUGUUCAUGAUGAUGAGCUAUUAUCAUCCUCGUUAUGUGGUGGUCCUUUGGAAUGAUCAUUGGAUGUUUCUGAGAGGCAGGGAGACAUGCAUUUUUCAGUCUUCCUCCCACCUUGAGGAUUUCAUCUUUGUCAAGAAAGGCAUCCAAUCGAAACAGUUUACUCUGGUGUGAAAGUUGUAAGCCAUUACUAAGUAGCUGGAUCUCAUCUGGAUACACUCCUCUCUGUAAAUCUCUUAUAAUGAUGCGCUGUGCAUCCUCUCGCUCCUGAACUGUGCUGUGACUUGUUGACUUGUCACUCUUGGCUCGGCGAAGAAGUCGUGCAACAGCUUGUUUGACCUUACACCAUGAAGAAAACUUUGACAAGCGGUCUGAAAGAGUCACUUGUUCUGCAGACUCCAAAUUUAGUGCUUGAACCCUUUUAACUUCAGGGUCCCCAACUGGGAUUUCUGGGAUUACCUCUACCUCUGGUGAUACCUCUUUCUCCCAUAAGAACUUGGAUCCAGUAAACCAGUUCGAUGUCAGAAGCUUGCUUGCACUAGAACCUCUUGAUGCAAGGUCUGCAGGAUUCUUGUUAGUAGAAACAUAUCGCCACUGCUGAGGAGUUGUACUGAGAUGUAUUUUCUGAAUCCUAUUUGAUACAAAUGUGUGGAAGCGACGUGCCUCGUUGUUAAUGUACCCCAGUACAACCUUGGAGUCUGUCCAGAGGUAUUCAUCAAUCCCUGAAAUUCCCCGUUCUUCCUUUAGAGUAUUGCUUGCUGCAACUGAUACAACAGCAGCAGUCAGUUCUAAACUGGGGAUGGUCACAGCUUUGAUUGGAGCAACUCUGGACUUUGCCAUAAUCAGAGCACAAUGAACAGUUCCAUUUUCAUUCACAUGUCUCAAAUAUCAGCACUGGCCAUAACCAUACGUCCUUGCAUCAGAGAAGUGAUGUAGCUCUCUCUUUGUGACCUUUCCAAAGUCAGCUGGUACAUAGCAUCGGGGUAUGGUGAUUUUAUCCAAAUUUGCCAGAUCACUCUUCCAGGAUCUCCAGACUGGUUGCAGUUUACUGAUGAGUGGGUCAUCCCAACCUGUACCAUGCCUACACAUUUCUUGAAGAACCCUUUUCCCAGUUAGCAGGAAAGGAGCAAUAAGCCCAAGUGGGUCGUAAAGAGAGGCAACAGUGGAUAGUAUACCACGGCUGGUUUCUGGUUGGUCCUUCAAACGGGUAUGGAACCUGAAACUGUCUGACUCAAUGUGCCAGUGGAUUCCUAAGGCUCUUUCCAGCGAUGAAUCACUAAAGGCAAGAUCAAGAGCCUUUACUUCAGUGGCACGCUCAGAUGGUGCUAUACUCUCAAGCACCUUUGCAUUGUUACACACAAAUUUGUGUAGUCGCAGACCACCCAUAGCACAGAGCCUUUGCGCUUCUUUUGCGAGCUGAAUAGCCUCAUCUACAUCUGCUAUGCUUGUGACACCAUCAUCCACAUAGAAGUCCCUCAUAAUGAAUUGGGAGCCCAGAGGAAACAGGCUCUCGUUCUCCUUAGCGAGAUGUUUCAACCCAUAGUUGGCACAUCCCGGUGAAGAUGCAGCACCAAAAAGGUGAACUUUCAUACGGAAUUCCUGCGGCUCCACACUGAAGUUUCCAUCCUUCCACCACAGGAAACGUAGGUAGUCUCUAUCCGCUUCGCGCACAUGAAACUGAUGAAACAUCCUUUUGAUGUCGCACAUCAGAGCAACAUGGUUCUGUCGAAAUCUGAUAAGAACACCAGUUUGAGUAUUUGUCAAAUCUGGGCCCGACAGGAGAUGAUCAUUUAGGCAAGUUCCCUUGUACUUAGCCGAGCAAUCAAAAAGCACUCUGAGCUUCUCUUGUUUUUUGGAAUGAUAAACUCCGUGGUGUGGAAUAUACCAUGUUUCACCUUCCUUCUCUUCACAGAGAACUUCUUCAGCAUCAUUGUUUUUAAUUACCUCAUUCAAAAACGUUAUGUAGUGAGUCUUGUAGUUCUUGUUGUUCAGCAGCUUUCGUUUGAGAUGGUUGAGCCAGAUGAUAGCUAACUGCUUGUUGUUGGGAAGGUAGGGUCUCUCUUUAAAAGGGAGAGGUAUCUCAUAGUGACCAUGGGCGUUCAUGUAAAUGCUUUCCUUUAGCAUAUUCAGGAAGAGGAUGUCAUCUUGAGACACUGUUCUGCUGUCCUUGCUGAUGUCCUUAAAGUCAGACUCAAGUACUUUAAUGGCAUCGGAUGGUGUCACUGGAGGAAGCUCUUUGACAGUUACUCUAUGGCAUAUGUUGGCGACAGGAGGAGAUUCAAGGUGAGGUGGUGAGCAGCCUAUGAUGCUCCAUCCUAGGUCUGUGCGGCCUGUGAGCAGUUAUAGCCUAUUAGAAGACCAACUUCACAGUCUAAAUGUGGCGGAAUGUCAUCUGCUAUUGCUUUGAGAUGAUUCCAAUGCCUCGCCGUUUCACUGGUAGGAAUGUGCCUUCGAUUCACUGAGAUUGUGGAGGUAUAGCCACGCACUCUGAGACCUGAGACUCUUUCACUGUGUGUUACUGUGUCCUUUCCGAUCAUGGCGGUUAGCUUUAGCCUUACAGGAUAGGUCUUGGUUGUCAAGCUACGACUAACAUCUUCAUCAAUAAACACAGUGUCACUCUGGGUGUCGAGCAGAGCAUAGACAAGCCUUUCUAUUCCUGGGUUGUUGGAAGAGGAAACCCAGACUGGCAAAAUCAUGGAUGUAGUCGUAGAUGUGUGCUCAGUCUCUGUAUUGAGAGACAAUGUCAUAGCUGCUUCAUCUGUGUUCUGAUUAGGGGCUAACACAGGAUUCAUGUUGGAAUAUCUGUCGUCAUGAAGGCAAGUUGGGUGUCGUCCCUUACAGAUAUCACAUAAGUGUCUGUGGCGGCAGUCUUUAACAUUAUGGCCUGGUUUCAGACAACCAUAGCAGAGUUUGUUUUCCCUUACAUACUUUCUUUUCUCUUCCAGAGGCGUUCCUUUAAACUCUGGACAACUAUGUAGGCGGUGUUUGUUAUCAUGACAGAACGUACAAGGGGGCUUUAAGCUUGUCUUGGAUGGUACAUUCUUCUCAUUCUCUGUAAGUGUCUGUGUAUGGAGAACAGUAGAUUUAUUUUUCCUUUCUUUCAGAUGAUGUUUCUCUGCAGGUAAGUCUGAUAAACGUAAUGCAUGGAGGGAAGUUACUGGGUUACAGGCAAUCUCUGCUUCUAAUGACAUGAAGUUGAGAAAGUCCUGAAAGGCUCGAAAUUCCCGUCUGUCCUUCAUAAACUGGGUCACCUUGCGGUUCCACCUUGAAGCUGCCCACUCAGGUAACUUUUGGACCAGCUUUUGGUUCUCUUCACAGUCAUUCAGAAUGUCCAGCCCUUUAAUAUGAGGCAUGGCUUGCUGACAUGCAUGUAGGAAGUCGGCGAAUGCUCUGAGUUGUUCUGCAUCCUUUGAGUGGAUCUUUGGCCAGCUAGCUAGUUUUUCUCUGAAAGCUCUCUGCAAGACGAAUGGUUGACCGUACUUGCUAUUAAGGCGAUCCCAUGCAUCCUUAUACGCUUCAUCAUCCUCCCUGUAAAAGAUACCAUCAAGUGUCUUUCGUGCAGGGCCUCCCACAUAUCUUCUCAAAUAAUGCAGUUUGUCAGCUGAACAUAUGUUCCUUUUAUCUAUGAGGGAUAUGAAUGAAGAUUUCCAUUCAAUGAACUGGAUUGGGUCGCCGGUGAAUACAGGUGGCUCUGGCAUUGGAAGUCUGUUCAUGGCUAUGCUGUCUUGUACUGCUUGAGCUAAGUGGGACACAUCUGUCUGUGGAGGUGAAGCUGGAAAUCUUGUGAGAUGCUGAACUGGGGCCGGAGACACAGCUUGAUGUGGGUGCAUAUGUUCCUGGUUCCUUAGUUUGCUGUUAGCAGAGCACAAGCUGCCCUCCUGCAUUACUUCUUGGUUGUAAAUUGACAAUCUUGCUCGUGCUGCUCUUAUAUCCUUUUCAGCUCUUAGUCUUUCUAGUUCAUGUUUUUGAGCUUCAAGAUCCCUUUUCUGUUGCUCUACUAAGAGCUGGAUCCUUUCUUUUUGUUUUCCUUCCGCCAAUAACAACUCAUAUUCCGCUUCCUUUGCUGCUAAUUCUGCUGCAGCAUCUGCUCUUUUUACUGCGACAAUGGAGUCUAUAGUGUGUUGACUUGGAGGUGAAACUGUGGAUCCAUAUAUGGAAUGAGCAUAGUCUCUGUUAAGGAGCUCACGAAGGCGUUCUUUGACUGCUUCACUAUCAUAGUCUUCGUCUAAGCCUGAUAUUCUUUCAUAUGCAAUUUUAAUAAUGUCCUUUGUUACGGCCUCACAUGCAUCAACACGACGUCUCGUUUCACUGGAUGGUGUGAGGUGAUCUCUGAUUUGUACAUAAAUGUCUGUAACAUCAUUCAUGUAUUUCUCUAAGAUAUCAAUGAGAGCUGCGAUUUCACUCUCUGGAAUGUCUAGCUUUAGCUGAUGUCUUGCCUUACGUGCCUGGAUCUUCCACUGAUCAUAAAGGUGCAUGAGCCGCUUCUCCUUUUUGUGUGCCUCCUCUCUCUGAAAUGCAAGCAUCUUCUCCGUGGGAUUUCUUGGGCGAUCAGAUCUGCGAAGUUCCUCAUCCUUGCUUGCUUGACAGAUGUCCUUUAUCUGAUCUGAGCCUUCUGCUUCUGCAGUUAAUAUCUGAGAUGCUUCCAUUUUGAGCGAGUGUCACAUUUAGACCAUCACCAUGAAUCCCUCUUCUCUCAUCAUAGACUUUGGCAGUCAGGUGAAACUCGUGAGGCUGAAGCUCUUACUGUAGCAUCCCUGGCUGAAUGAUGGUCUCUUAUACUGAUGCUUCACAGAGGUUUUAUUGGAAAAGUUUUUAUUGAAACAUUCAGUGAAGACACCCAUAGCUGGACUGGCCAUCGGGCAUACUGGGCAUUUGCCCGGUGGGCCGAUGGUGAUUUUUCGUUUUUAUGUUGUUGUUUUUUUGUUUUUUGUUUUUUCCUGUAACGGUAUAAACACUGAAAGGUGGUGGAUUGGCCAGAUGCUGGGAGAUGUGUAAAAAUAACUCAAUUGUUUGGUGGUGGCUAUUGCAGAGCUUCCACAGAUUCAGUAAUAUUAGCAAGUGGUGGAGGCCAGCAGAUGCAAAACGCUGGCAGGUGGAUGACAGAAACGCAGAAGGAGCAGAGACCUGAGGCGGUGAACUGAACUUCAGGUAAGAAGUUAUGACCUGCAGUCUAUCUGGGUCAGAUAUAAACCAAGUUUAGGUGGAGUUUAUUUUCGUUGUGCUGACUUUUUACAGUCAGUUACAAUAACUCGUACUGCUUACUAGCUAGCAUGACGGAGUUUAUAUACUGCUGGGCAGGUGCUAUGAUAUUAUUGAUGUUGAACUUGUUUUAUUUUAUUUUAUUUAUAAGGUUAGUUAUUAGAGUCUCCAACCGUCCUGUAAAAAACGGAAUCUUCUCGUAUUCAGAGUAAAUAUUGCGUGUUUUGUACUGAGGUGAAAAGGAACACAGUUUGUCCCAGACUUCAGCUACAAUGAAAAAGACACAAAGCUGGAAUUAUUCUGUGUCUUUGCUGCACAGCUGCCUCUUCUUCUCCCAUUCUCUCCCCCUCCCUCUCCUGUUUCUACUUCAAUCAUGAAACUGAUCAAUGAUCAGCUGAUCGGCUUUUCUCUCUUGUUUAUUUAUCGCCCACUUUGCGUCAGAAACAGGAAACUGGAUGUCGCGCUAAACAACAGCAGCACAUUUAAGCUUAAACAGCUGUUGUUAGAAUUUAUUUAAUAUUAGUUUCUAGUAUCAGCUGAUGUUUGCUGGAGCCACAGCUGUAAAAGCUGCUGGUCAUGAUAUCGGUUUGGAUAUCUGGUGAGAGGGAAACAUGCAGAUGAAACCAGGAGAUGUCCUUACUGAAUCAUCAGAGCUGAACAGGUGAUGGAGAAACAGGUUUACCUUUUAGGUGACAUGGAUGAGUUGAAGGGAAGUUAUGAACUGUUUCUGAGAGACAAAUAACACCAGGAUCCUUUUCUACGUAGCUGACAGCUGGUAACUGUGCAGGGGCGGAUCUAGCAAAGUGUUGCCAGGGGGGCAGGUAGGGCAUUAACAGGGA